rnacentral:rRNA from 1 species
AUGUCGUCUGCUUGUCCUGGCCGGCCAACGAAGCCCAUGGGCAAUGAUAAUCCGUCGUUGGUAAAUAUACAAGGUGCAUCUGGUCCAAAACCAGCCGCUGUCCGCGAACGCCAAACCGCCAGUUCCUUUCCUUUCCCGCCCGCCCGCGCCCGUCCGCCCGCCCGCAACCCGCCCGGCCGCCACCGCCCCCCGCCUUCCGGCGAUGACCCCGCCGCCUUCUCCUCCGCCGCCGCAGCCGGUGGGCUGACCCACGUGGCCGCCGCUGCCAUCUCGCCCGCAACCGCUGCCAUGCCGUCGUCCCCGUCCGUCGGUCCGGAUUUGCACCGCCCCGGCCGGUGGCCACCGCGCCGGCGGCGAAGCCGGCGAAGGGAUGAGGCGGCGGAAAACGGUCGGCCAACCGCAGCCGCAACCCGACCGACACCUGUGCGGCCGGCGGCCUCCUCCAGCAGCCACACAUCCAUUCCUCAACCUCCCCCGCCGCCACCGUGGGCCGUCGAGGAAGAUGUGGCCACGCCGACGGCCACCACCUCCAACAUGUUCGACGAAAUGUCGCAAAGUUUUGAUGAUGAAGCUUUCAUGCACGCGGCAAAUGUGGCAAAUGAUGAUUACAUGUAUGCGUCACAAGAAUAUGAAACCCAAUAUGAUGAUGACAAUCUUGAUGUGGACGAUGAGGGCUUUGUUGUCAAGGGAAGAAGUGGAAAUUAUACCACCGCGGAGGAUGUGUUGAUAUGCACCGCUUGGAAGAAAACCUCUCAAGAUGCAAGCGUUGGAAGCGACCAAACGGUGAACACCUAUUGGCAACACAUCAAGGAGUACUUCGAUGAGUGCAACACAAGUGGUCACUUCCGUUCGAGCGACUCUCUAUGCCAACGUUGGUCCACACAAGUGAAGAUGAUGAUCGUACCACGGUUCACAACGCCGGUGGUGUUGAUGACCCGCAUGAGUAAUAUUCAUGACAAAAUUGAUGAAGGCGGCGAUUCGGUGCUCGAGCCCAGAUGCUCCCGAAAUCUUCGUCGUCCGCUCGUUACUCGGGAUGCGAACAAAUCCUGCUGGCGCGUCUGCUGCGGAACGGGGAAAAAGGGUUGUAUUCGAUAUACAGUAGGAAACAAUGGAGCUUUUGUGGGCCAGAUCGUACGCGGGGAAAGGCCCGUUUCGCUUGCCAGUUAUGGUCCGUGGACCAGGACGUUUGGUUUUGUACCGAGCCAUGGAUCAGAAAAGUGUGCAGCCCGUUUGGAUAAAACGGCGACAUCUGGAGUCGUCUCCACCCCUCUACCCGCAGAAAUCACCUCUGUUCCGCCUUCAUGGAUUACGGGAGGACAGGCGGCGGCGCUUGAUCUGUACCAGAAACUAGAAGAUGGAAGAUUUGUCAGCAGGCACGCCGGGAGAAAUAAGCUAACGCUGGCCAUGACCGGCGCUGGUUGCCACUUGAGAUCAGGUUCCCGCUCCGGGAGGAGUUCGCCGAUAGCUUGGAUCACACAGAUCCAGCGCCUCUGGCCUUUCUGCUGGAGAGCUUGGCCAACGGUGGAGUCCCGGCGGACUCAAACAAUGGGUCUGGUUACGGGCAGCAGAUCGGCAGCGCUGUCCCGGAGAGAGCACACGGGGUGGUGCGCCGUCGUCCGGAUGCUUCUCCUGCUUGGUUGGCGCAGUCAACUGACAGAAUCAACCGGCAAGCCCCCGCUGGACGAAAAGGUCUGA